rnacentral:rRNA from 1 species
UACGAAGGGUGCAAGCGUUACUCGGAAUUACUGGGCGUAAAGCGUGCGUAGGUGGUUUGUUAAGUCUGAUGUGAAAGCCCUGGGCUCAACCUGGGAAUUGCAUUGGAUACUGGCAGGCUAGAGUGCGGUAGAGGGUAGUGGAAUUCCCGGUGUAGCAGUGAAAUGCGUAGAGAUCGGGAGGAACAUCUGUGGCGAAGGCGACUACCUGGACCAGCACUGACACUGAGGCCAG